rnacentral:lncRNA from 1 species
GUGCCAGCAGCCUGUGAUGUCUGCAGGUAGCAGAGCAGCUCCAGCACACCCAUCCCUUUCCACAGCCCCUGGCACAGCAGCGUAAUGUGGGGGCAGAUGGAUGGGCUGUGGUAGGAUGAGCCCUGCCCUGCUCCUGCUUCUAUUCCUGGCCAGCUGCUCCCUGCUCCAGGGGACGCUGCUGCGGCCACGGCACGUGAGGCUGGAGGCACAGAACUUCCACGUCUGGCUACACUGGGAGCCAGACCCCAGCUCACCCAUCUCUGCCACCUACGAGGUGGAGUGGAGGAACAGAACCUCGAACUGGACCAAGGCAGGUGCCUGCGGGGGGAACAGGAUAAGCUCUUGGGUGUGUGAGCUGUAUUUUGACAGGAUUCAUGAUAUCUACUGGGCACGGGUGAGAGUGGUGGCCGGAGGUGAGCAGUCCGAGUGGGCCAGUUCCAGCGAGCUGCAGCUGUACAGAGACACAAUUAUUGGCCCCCCCAAGUUGUCCUGGCUGCUCCAGGAUCAAAUCCUCAGUGUAAAAAUCAUCACACCACUCACUCCCUACAAGAAAAGAACUGGUUCCUACAAGCCAGUCAACCGAGUGCUGCUGAAGCUGUGGUACUGGCUUCACCUGUACGAGGAGGACCUGCUUGUCCAGCAGGUGCCCUGCAAACGGAGCAGUGAGAAAGUGCCUUGCACCUUUGGGCACCUGAAGCCCAGCACACAGUACUGUGUCCGGACGGUGGCUGCAGACAUUGCCAGGGAGCGGAGCCGGGAGGUUGAGCGGUGCCUGGUGACUCCAGCAGGCCCUGCAGGCUUUCCAUGGGUCCUUGCCGUGCUGAGCGCCUUCUUCCUGCUGCUGCUGCUAAGUGUGGCCGGGCUGUGCUUCAUCCAGCUGCAUGUGUUCCCCAGUCCUCCGGAGAUGUGCCUCCCAAAAGCACUGGUGAGUGACCGUUCUCCUCCAGCUUGGAGCCGAGCCAGGGUUCCCUGCAUUUUUAGGGGCUCAGCACCUCCUUUCCUCCAACUCUCACACCACCAGCACCCCCCNCCCCGCUCCCGGAGCCGCCCGGAGCCGCCCGGCCAGCGCUGGCUCCUGUCCCCAGCGGCUGCUCCCACGGGCAGCCACACGCAUGGGACACAACUUUCCGCUGGGGUUUUGGUGCCCUUGAGACACAGCAGAAGGAGCAUGGACCAAAGCUGA